rnacentral:rRNA from 1 species
UACGGGGGGGGCAAGCGUUGUUCGGAAUCACUGGGCGUAAAGCGCACGCAGGCGGGUCGUUAAGUCAGGGGUGAAAUCCCGAGGCUCAACCUCGGAACUGCCUUUGAUACUGGCGAUCUUUGAGUCCGGGAGAGGUGAGUGGAACUCCGAGUGUAGAGGUGAAAUUCGUAGAUAUUCGCAAGAACACCAGUGGCGAAGGCGGCUCACUGGCCCGGUACUGACGCUGAGGUGCGAAAGCGUGGGGAGCAAACAGG